rnacentral:rRNA from 1 species
CAGCCGCCACGGUAAUACGAAGGGGGCUAGCGUUGUUCGGAUUUACUGGGCGUAAAGGGCGCGUAGGCGGGCGAUUAAGUCAGGGGUGAAAUCCCAAGGCUCAACCUUGGAACUGCCUUUGAUACUGAUUGUCUUGAGUUCGAGAGAGGUAAGUGGAACUGCGAGUGUAGAGGUGAAAUUCGUAGAUAUUCGCAAGAACACCAGUGGCGAAGGCGGCUUACUGGCUCGAUACUGACGCUGAGGCGCGAAAGCGUGGGGAGCAAACAGGAUUAGAUACCCCCGUAGUCCCUGUCUCUUAUAC